GACAGAGGAUGCAAGCGUUAUCCGGAAUGAUUGGGCGUAAAGCGUGCGCAGGCGGUUAUGUAAGACAGUUGUGAAAUCCCCGGGCUCAACCUGGGAACUGCAUUUGUGACUGCAUCGCUGGAGUGCGGCAGAGGGGGAUGGAAUUCCGCGUGUAGCAGUGAAAUGCGUAGAUAUGCGGAGGAACACCGAUGGCGAAGGCAAUCCCCUGGGCCUGCACUGACGCUCAGUGCACGAAAGCGUGGGGAGCAAACAGGAUUAG
rnacentral:rRNA from 1 species